UGAGCCACCGCACCCGGCCUGGAUUACCAGUAUUUAAACGUACAUGGGAAUGGUGAGAAAAUCCGAGAACCUUGUAACGGAGAAGCUCGGUGCCAGAAAUCCUAGGAGAGGCUGGGCUGGCAGAGGAAAGCAGCUUUUGAGUAGUCAACUGAAGAAUUAUAAAUCACUCUACACUGUACAUUUAAAAGAUGCCGUUUUGCCUUCAAAGGUGAAGAAAACUGAAGGAAAAGAUGGUGUCUUCCAAUAAAGGAAUUCUGUGUUCAAAGUCUGGCAAUCAAGUGGUUUUGGUUGCGCCUGGAGGGUGAUGGUAUAUAGGGCUGUGGGUUGGAAGGAAAGAUAAACUACAAUAAAGGAGUUAUUACUCAGUUUGCAGAUUAAACAAAAGUUGUCAAAACGGAGCUGAAGUUAGAGACCAUCACAUGAUGAGUUUGGAAAAACAGAGAAUUUGAAUGUGUUUGUAGCAUUUGUGGACUGUGUUUGGGGUGUCCACUAUUUGAUAGGGUCUGCAUAAUAAUUUUUAGGUAGUUUCUGAGAUGUAAUGUGGGAAAGGGUCGAUGUGUACCCCAGCAGGCCUUUAUGAUUAAACGUGAUAUGUGUCAGGCAUGUUACCUGAUUUUGGAUGGGGCCUGAGGAGGUUGGAGUGUUUCUUUUUGCUUAUUACUUGGCAUUUCAACUCACUAUCUCAUUUAGUGAUGGGCUCAUAUCUGCUGUAAUGUGAUAUACACAUUCCUGAAAAACCUCUCAUUCUGCAAAAUCAUACACUAAAAAUAACAGGGCUAUAGGAAAAAAAAUAGAAUUAAGGCCAGACUGCUUAAAACUAUGUAACUUUUUAAGUGGAAUUUUAACAAAAGCAAUGACAGUUGAAGUAAAAAUACAGGGAGGCUUAACUCUUCCUUGACACUUGCACUCAGCAUUAUACCCAGCUGAUUGUAGGCCUUAUUUUAUCCUGGGACAUGUUUAUCCUGGGUUUUGUAGAUUCGUUCUUGGAGAUGUUAGUUUUUUCUGGAGGCCAGUUUCACCAGAAUGAAAGCUCUGCUUCAGAGUGUAGCCUUCAUGUGCCCCCACACUAUCACUGGGUGAUGGAGAGCCCAGUAGAUACUGAGGUGACUAAACCAGCCACCCUCAUGCCCACUGCUUGCACAAAAGGAAGGUGCUUUGAUACGAUUGAUUUUUCUUAGGGUUGUUGUUUUUCUUUCUUUUUUUUUUUUCUAAGUCUUUCUCAUUAUUUGUGAAAAAAUCUUGGCCCUCAAUAGCUUCAAAACGUUCACAUGCUGGGAAGAAUCGCUGCUGAACCAACACUCCGUUUCCAUGAUACUAUUAUCAUUCCCAUUUCGCCAGUCACGUGGGAAGGAGUCCACGUCCCGGAGACAUGUGUUGUGGCAGUUCUGACAUGUUUUUGAAUCAGCGAUGGUGUCAAGAUGCAGGUUUUGAGAAUGUCAAGUUUCAGUUACUUUGGGAAGUUCUUGUUUGGGAGAUAUCCUAGAGUGUUUCAAGGUUAAGUGACAUUUCUUGCCUGUCUUAUGCUUUGUUGGCCCUUGUCUACAAUAAAGAACUGAAGUGGAGCUAUUUUUGUCCACUUUCACAUUCUGCCUCUGAAACUCAGCCACUGGUGGUGGGAUGCUAUAAUUUCUCAAUGCAGCAUCGGCAUUUGAACAACACAUGUGAAGCAGGAAUGGUUUUACGUUUUGGUUCAUUUGAAAUGUGGUUAUAGUGAGGUUUUAAAUAAAUCAUUUGAGCAGACAGUAAACAAAAAAAGAGCAGCAGUAGCCAGUUGUCAAGGAAAAGACUGAUGGGUAGAAUAAACAGACUGCUUUCUGCAGUAUAAACAAUCUGUUUUCAUGGUUUUUUUCUCUUUCUUUUUGAAGGGUGAUUGGGAGAACUUCCAAAUUAAGUAGAAGUUAGUUAAAUAUGAGAGGCAGUAAAUCCGCAAUGUGUAUGUUAAUGAUUAUUACAACCUGUGUUCUCAAUAGCUGUAAUAACAAACAUGUCAGUGACUGAACACAACGGAACAGUGUUGUUUAUUAUGGGGUGGUAUGACUGGUGGUGGCUUUGACAUCCUCAGGACUCAACACCUCAGCAUUCAGUCAGAGAAAGGAAAGAAACUAUGGAGAAAGUAUAACUGCUUAAAAACUCUAGCUUGGGCCAGGCAUGGUGUCUCAUGCCUGUAAUCUCAUCACUUUGGAAGGCCAAGGUGGGAGGAUCACUUGAGCCCAGGAGUUUGAGACCAGCCUGGGCAAUGUAGGCAGACCCUGUCUCUACAAAAAUUAAAAAUAGAUGAGCUGGCUGUGGUGUGGCACAGCUGUGGUUCCCAGCUAGUUGGGAGGCUGAGAUGGGAAGACUACUUGAGCUCAGGAGGUUGAGGCUGCAGGGGGCUAUGAUUGUGCCACUGCAGCCUGGGUGACAGAGCAAGACUGUCUCUCUCUCUCUCCGCCCCCACCAAAAAAAAAAAAAAAGCCCUGGUUUGAGGUGAAGUGAAACACAUCACUUCCACUCAUGUGCCAUUGUGAAGAACUAGCUGUGGACCACACCUAGAUCAAGGGUGGCUGGGCAACACCUUCACAUCACAGGAGAAGGAGCCUGCAUUUUGGUGGAUAGAGACUCAAAGAAUUCUGUGUAUAUCUGGUACCCUCCAGAUUAAAGUGGGAAGGGGAUGGGGGGCAUGAAUGUUAUCUGUGUGUGUAUAUAUAAAAGAAAUGGUAUUGCAGAGUACAAGAGACGAUUUCCCUUUAAAACUUUGAUUUCUGUUUUGAUUCGGCAGUUGGCAAGCUUUCUCUGUCAAGAAGUAUUUUAAGAUGUGUAGCCACAGAAGGCCCCUGGUGCACAGUCCCCUUAAAAAAUAAAAAAAUCAUUCUUAGUCUGAGGGUCGUACAGAAAUAGCCUGAGCCCUGUUUCCGUUGAUCAGCUCAAACAGGUAACUAUUUAAAUUAGCUUUUAAAAAUACUUGUGAAGUUUAAUGAAGAGUGAGCCAUACUAAAUAUACUAAACUAUCUUGAAACAAUACAACUGGAGUUUUAAAUAAUUUUUCUUUAGAUGAGAUUUCCUUGAGGUAAAAAUGGCCUUCAUGGACUCAAUGAAAAGUAUUGUAGCCCUGUGCCCAAGACUCACCAAUGUUUCAGGUCUUAAGGAAAACUUCAUCUGGUUGAGGAAAGAUUGGGAUCUUGGUUUGUGAGCACAGCUUAUGUGCUCUCACAAAAUCUUGUCCCAUCGUUGGAGACUUUAUUGGAUGCAAUCUCCAGGAAACUGUCCCCAAAAGUGAGUACUUGUUCUCAUCUGUUGAAUAUCUGGACCACCAAAUAGAUACCUAAAAAUUGUGCAAAAUUAUAGCUACAUUUAGAAAUUUACUCUAAAAGCCUAUACAGUAAAUCUUCAACGUCAUCAAUGAGUUCUUAGGAACUGCAAUUUUAAGUGAAACUAUGUAUAUGGAAGCCAGUUUUCCCAUAGGCUAAUUGAUACAAACAAGAGUUAAGUUUCUAUGGCAUAUUUCUGGUCACAAAAACACCACCAAACUUUUAAGUAAAGACCAAAACACUUCUGGCAUUAAACAUUGAAAUAAAUGUGAGCCAUACCUACGUUUAAGAAAGAUUAAUACAACGUGAGGUAAUUAUUUACCCACUUAUUGCACCUGGUCACAGGUGGCCAGAGCCUGUCCUAGGAGCUCAGGGCACAAGGUGGGCACCAACCCUGGACAGGGUGCCAUCCCAUCACGGGGCACACUCACACCCCCACCCGUGUCCUUAGACUGGGCCCAGGUAAAUGCAUUAAUAAACUCAAUGUGCUCAGCUUUGUCCGGGAGGAGACCCGAGUACCUGGAGAAAACCCAGCAGACAGUGGCCUGGGCUGGGAAUGGAUUUUUCUUAUCAACUGUGUAACUAAAUGACGGUCAAUGAAACGAUGUUAUUUGAAGAUGUGCUGUAUACUAAAAUAUACGGAAUUCUAUUUGGUUUGUGUGUUAGUAACCCCUGGGGAUGGAUUCAGAUGAUCUAAACAUUCCUUAUUGAGGCUGGGCAUCGUGGCUCACGCCUAUAUUCCCAGCACUUUGGGAGGCUGAGGCGGGUUGAUUGCAUGAGCCCAGGUGUUUGAGACCAGCCUGGACAACAUGGUGAAUCCCUGUAUCUACAAAAAUGAAAAAAAGUUAUACAAAUCCUUAUGAAGGUGUUAAAUAUCUAAAUAUGACUUAAAUGUAAAACCAAACCAGAAAUGUUUUUGUCGAAACAGGUCAGUAUGUUUUGUAAGUUCUUAUAGAAAACCAUAAAAUAUUUAAAAAACAGAAAUCUACCAUUCUAGCACUGAAGUUUCUAACAGUCAGCUAUCUUAAAAUACCUGUUUAGUUAGUUCCAAGUGUUAGGUUACAUUUUCUGACAUUCUUAAUUGACUUUUGAAAAUUAGGUUACUAAUAAAUGAAAUGAUGUAAAUAUGUGUGUGUGUAUAUGUAUGUAUGUGUAUAUAUAUGUGUGUGUAUGUGUAUUUAGAGGCUAUUUAAUAAUUUAAAAGUUCCUUUCCAUAGUAUCUCCACCAGUUGAGACUGUACCAGGGUCUGCAUGAGGGCUCUUGUUUCUUCUUAAAAAGCCAAAAUCUGUGACCUGUGUGGUUAAUAAGUAAUUAUUAUCUUCUCAGACUAUUGUACUUGAGAGAUUAAACUGCAAAUUAUAAUUAGAAUAAAACUAUACUCUGAAACCUUUAA